rnacentral:rRNA from 1 species
GAUCAGCCAUGCCGCGUGAGUGAUGAAGGCCCUAGGGUUGUAAAGCUCUUUUGUGCGGGAAGAUAAUGACGGUACCGCAAGAAUAAGCCCCGGCUAACUUCGUGCCAGCAGCCGCGGUAAUACGAAGGGGGCUAGCGUUGCUCGGAAUCACUGGGCGUAAAGGGUGCGUAGGCGGGUCUUUAAGUCAGGGGUGAAAUCCUGGAGCUCAACUCCAGAACUGCCUUUGAUACUGAGGAUCUUGAGUUCGGGAGAGGUGAGUGGAACUGCGAGUGUAGAGGUGAAAUUCGUAGAUAUUCGCAAGAACACCAGUGGCGAAGGCGGCUCACUGGCCCGAUACUGACGCUGAGGCACGAAAGCGUGGGGAGCAAACA